AUUGAACGCUGGCGGCAGGCCUAACACAUGCAAGUCGAGCGGCAGCGGAAAGUAGCUUGCUACUUUGCCGGCGAGCGGCGGACGGGUGAGUAAUGUCUGGGAAACUGCCUGAUGGAGGGGGAUAACUACUGGAAACGGUAGCUAAUACCGCAUAACCUCGAAAGAGCAAAGUGGGGGAUCUUCGGACCUCACGCCAUCGGAUGUGCCCAGAUGGGAUUAGCUAGUAGGUGAGGUAAUGGCUCACCUAGGCGACGAUCCCUAGCUGGUCUGAGAGGAUGACCAGCCACACUGGAACUGAGACACGGUCCAGACUCCUAACGGGAGGCAGCAGUGGAAGAUU
rnacentral:rRNA from 1 species